rnacentral:rRNA from 1 species
UACGGAGGGUGCAAGCGUUGUCCGGAUUUAUUGGGUUUAAAGGGUGCGUAGGCGGUUAACUAAGUCAGUGGUGAAAGGCAGCAGCUUAACUGUUAGCACUGCCAUUGAUACUGGUUGACUUGAGUACAGACGAGGUAGGCGGAAUUUAUGGUGUAGCGGUGAAAUGCAUAGAUACCAUAAAGAACACCGAUUGCGAAGGCAGCUUACUAGGCUGUAACUGACGCUGAGGCACGAAAGCGUGGGGAUCGAACAGG